AGAUCCGUCAGCAUUUGAUCAGAGGCCUAGACCGGUCACCCUACCGAUGCAGGUGCAGCCUCCACCUUAUGCAAAGCUCCAAGAAGUUACGGCAGAAUGAAACUGUCAACGAGGAAAAACGUCCGGUUGCUGCUUUUUUCGUUUUUUGAGGGGUUGUUUUAGCAUACUUUAAUACCACGUGUAUUAUAUUCUUCCUCGUUCCCAGGCCCCAUUGGAUUUCGGCGGUAAAGAGCGAGGAAACAGGCAGCUUGGGGCGAGAGAGACUUGUGGUCGGGAGGAGUGACGCCUGGGAACGAAUCAGGAAGUACGUUAAUCACAUCAAGAACAAACGAACUCCUGCGCAAUUUAUAUGUAAGCAUUCACUGAUGCAGAUGUAGAAUAACAAAAUAAAAAGCACACUGAGUUAA